GCUUCUCCUAAGGCCGAUACAUUCCCGGUGUAGUCAAACACGAAAGGUGGUGUAUCCGGAAAAGUUUUGUUGUAGACUCCUUGGAGAUUGCUGCACGCACCACACGAACAUAAUGUUAUCGACACAUUUAGAUGUUGAAUUAUGCCUUCACUUUAAGACAAUGAAGGUUUAAACCAUUUAAAUUGGUUCAAUUUGAACAAUAUUUCAGCCUAAAUCAACUCUAUCCGUCUAAGAUACUAACAAAUAUGAUCAAAAUUGGAAGGUCUAGUGAUUUACGUACUUGUAGUAUGCUUGGAGAAUGCUAAUCGAUGGAGCCCAAAAACUUAUGUUGUUCAAGCUUGCUGAAUGCAUGGCGCCUUGUGGACCGGUACAUGUUGUAUUAGCAGGACAUGGCUGUUGAUUCACGGACACUGCGAUCGUAAUGUUCCUAGUGAUUUUGGUUGGAACCUUAGAUGGAUGUUCUUCACUGUUCAAACUCCUCAACUGAAUAGUAAAGUUUCCAGCAUCACUCUUGUUAGUAAAACCUGGAAGCUUGGGUAACAAAGGAGUCUCCGAGUGGUUAUAAUUGCCAUUGUAUUGAAAUAUCGCCCUCGUGACGUUGUCAUUGGAUGGGGCAUUGGUAUCAACGAAUGGACUGAAUACCAUGUAGUAGCGACCAGGGGCUUGGUUUGCAGUUACCAAAACAUCCAUUGUUUGACCAGGAGUUAUCAUGAGGUAAUUGGUCUUAAGUGGUUUCAAAUAAGCUCCAUCCAUUCCGACCACAGUAAGAUUGUGCUUGGCUAUUCCGAAGAACAUCUCUUCAUUCAUCCCAGAGUGGAUGAUCCGGAAGAGAUAUGUUUUUCCUUGCACAACUGUUAUAUUGUAUGCCGACCCUACAAAAGAUUAAAUAAAAAAAAAAAACCCAUAUUAGAUAGUAUUGUUAUAGAUCUUGAUUAGUUUUAAGGAAUAACAAUUUUGCAAGAUCUCAUUUCAUUAAUAUAGAGUAAAAAGGUUUUAUUUCAUUACCUAUGAAUACGAGCUUUUCUUUUUAAAAAAUAGCAUAUAUCACACAUAAAUACACACUAGAAUUCAUACCAUUAGAGCAUGGGUAACUAUCUCCUGGUUGACCAUUGAUGGUAUAGGCCACGGACAAGUCUGGAUCGCCUCCAGUUGCAAGAGCCUCAUCGAUUAUAGCCUUUGUAUCUCUCGCAUACCAUUCAGCUGCAUGCCAAAUUAGUUUUGUUAAGAAAAACAAUUCAAGCUAUUACUUGUGCAUGUUUGAUUAAGUGAAAAACUUAAUUCUUUCAUUUAAGUAGAAUACCAAUCACAAUUGUGUGUUGUUCAUCAAACUUGUAAGGGUAGUUGGUGUCAUUGAUAGGCAAAAUGAUUAUAGGGCCGUGUACAGUAGCCCGUGUCCAAUCGCUAUGAGCGUGCCACCAUAGUGUGCCUUCUUCUUCAGUGAGUAUGACUUUCUGAAGGAAGCUUGAGUUCGUAGGGAUUGGGCAUUGCGUGAUGUUCUCCGGGCCGUCAGACCAAGGAUACCUUAUUUGUCUCACUCCAUGCCUGCAUGUGUGGACAAUAUUAGGAAGGAGAGAGAGGAGGGGGGGGUUAAGGGUGGAGGAAGGGUGGUUUUAUUUUUACCAAUGAAUAGUGACUCCAUAGGGUCCUAUGUUGGUAACAUUGACGUAUAUGGUGUCACCCUUGUGAGCACGGAUCUCCGGUCCAGGAAACAGACCAUUCACAGUCAAUACAGAGCGAUUUGUCUCACACAACAUAUUAAUAGGUGUCUCCUUCACCUGCAACAAAUAAAAAAUCAUCCUUUAAAAUUUGACCGACAUACAUCUUAAGUAAUCUCUCUUAUUAAAUUGAUGCCGAAGCGUUUCGGUGUACCGCAGCCUACAAAUAACAUUGACUAAUUUACGGGCCGGCGUCUGCACUUGCUUCCAGAAUAAAGACCCAAAUGGGUUGGAGAUCACUUCCCAAAUGAACAAAUAAAUAAAUUAUACAACUGUGGAUAUUUAGGGAUUACUACCAAACUUACAAGAAGAUAAAAUCAUCAGAAAAAUGCAUGUAGUUUUGGUAUAUGAAUGCUGUAAUACUCGGCCUCGAGCAUAGUCCAAGAUCUAACUAGCUCCAGAUCUAGAUGUGAAGAUCUAAAAUAACAUCAACGAAUCAUGAGAUCGUAAAACUUGAUACAAAUGCGCUAGUAGUCGCUAAAUGAUCUGUAUGGCCCAAAAAAGACACUUAAGAGUGCUCAACGAGGAGAUGUUCCUACUUACCACGAAAUCAUAGUGGAGGACUUUGCCUUGAGCCAUGCAAAAGAGCAGGGUCAGAGUGAACCCAAACCCUAGAAAUCUGCCCAUCGUCUCUGUCUCCCUCUCUCUCUCUCUCUCUCUCAACAAGACAAAAACGAACUUGUAUGAAUCACUUGAUCCAGAACAAAAUAGGGGACUUGUGUUUCGCUCGGCCUCUUUCUUCUUGUGACCUUCACCUUCCACUAAAGGGGGCUCUUUAUAGGGAACUUCUUUUCGUAUUUGGUUUUCUCUGUCGAGAUGCUCGCUGUCUGCCCCACAUGAAAACGAAUUCGGCGGGUUUCCCGCAAAGACAGGUGUCCUCGACAUUACAGCCAAUAAAAGUUAAAGAAAGGAAAAACCAGCAUUUGUCUUUCAAAGGCUUGUGCUCAUUUUUCCCGUGUUUCCACAAAGAAGAAGAAGAUCGGCUAAGGAGCGCUGCUGAGGAACGAGCCGAUGAACUUCCCACGACUUACUUAGUCAUGCGGGCAAGAAAGAAGAGAAUUUAAAAAUGCAUUUCUUUACGCGCUCAUCAACUGCUUCAAGACUCAUUACCGAUUCUCCUUUUGUUCUUUUCUGGAGACAAUCGGCGUCAACGUUUUCGUGGAGGAUUGCUCGUGAAAGAAGUUCCACAGCCACCUCCCCACGUUGUUCUUCUUGGACGGGUUGACCAGUACCAUGAUACUUCGGAAAAUAGAGCCCCUAGAAGUCGAGAGAUAUUCGGUGCAGCCGAGAAAUCUGUAUUUUCCAAAUAAAAAAGAAGCAUAAAAGAAAAAUGUUUCUCCUUGUCAUUUACCGAACACAGCAAACCAGGAGAAAGAAAACUCGUACUGAAGUCUAGUUUAAAGAGCCUUUUCGGAGCAUAUGUUUCGGUCAGGUUCAGCAAUCAAAAAACUGAACUUUCUUGUAACGUGUUUAAACAAAAGUUUUACAAAUCGAAUCAUUCCUUAUAGUGUACGACUAUCUUUUGACAAACUUUUAAAGCGUGUAAAUACUUCUUUUCUCUUUUGCCAAAGAAUUUGUAGAUUAUUGAAGUAAAAAUAAAGCGCAUAUUACCAUUCUCCCGAAGAUAUCUACCAAUUUUCUAUGAGAUCUAUAAGUUAGGGGUUUACCUAGACCGAGGUGUCUCAAUUCCUUCCCGAAACAAAAACGUGUACGAAAUCUCUCUAUUGAUCUUGUUCUUGAUAUACAAGCAUCCAAAGUGGAUCCAGCUUAGAGACAUUACAAAAGCCCCUAUUAAUAUAUGUUAGAGAAGCUGACUAUAUAUGAUUUGAUUAAUGACACGUGGUGUGAAUCAUUAAUUUGACUAGGGUUUAAGUCGUUGCGUUUAUGAUUUUGGGAGUCUACUAGAAAUAGUGCUUUUAUAAAAGUACUUCCCCGCCCAAAGAAAAAAAAUUCACAAAAAAUUAGUCCCGUUAAAAGCACGCCUACACAUUAGAAAGAUCAAUUAGAGCAUAACACAUUGAUUAUCUAGCAAAUAAUGUGUCCCAAUCCGUAUAUCAUAUAUCAUUAAAUAAUACAAAUCUGCCAUUCAUGAUAUGUUUGAGAUAAUAUUCUAUAUCAAAAAUGUCUGUAACCACACAGUCCAUAAGAUUUAUCAGAAUACCACAUAAAAUUUCCUAGAGUUGAGCCUAAAGUUGCCAUAAGUGCUUCAAGUUCUAACGAAAAUGCUAGCCUAACAAUGCCGUAAGUGCUUCAAACUAAUGGUGCAUUUUGAGUCUUUAGUAUCACUUCAAAAGCAAUAGGCUACAGAACAUUUAUUAAUUAAUUUAGCUUAAUCAGAACAAAAUUGCAAGCACUUUAUGGAAGAGGGAAAUGACCAAUUUUGUUCCCUGCACAACAAAGACAUCAUUUCAUGCUCGGACAAGAAAUCCUAAAACACGUUUCGCACCACAAGCGCCAUGAUUGCAAUUUCAUAUUUUCCUCGGACACAUACAAUGUUCCAGAGCACCUGUGAGAAGUAAUGGUUUACCUUUUAGUUAAUUAAGGUGCUACGGAAAAUUUCAAAAUUGCCGUAAGACUAAUGGAACUUAUUAUCAUGACAAAAGAAGAAGAAGAAAAUACGCGAGCUUAUCAUCAAUGCAUAUAGUAAUAAUACAUCUUUAUGAUAUAAACUGGAGUUUACCAUGGCGAUUAUAUAAAAUGCCGUUGUUGUUAUUUAGGAAUGUGGAGGAAAGAUUAUUCAAAGAAUUAGUAGCAUCAGUAACAUAAUCAAGAACCAUGGGCCUCAGAAAAUGUGACAUUCUAAUUAAGUUGUAAGGAUAUAAAUCCUCACAAACGUUCUAAUUUAUGUGUGAAAUUUUCAACUUUCAGCCAAAUUAAUGGAGUGGUUGCUCUCCUAUCACAUGAUAAUAACAACACGAAGGCAAAACAAAGUCGGGAAGAUUGAAAAUGAGCUUACGUUGUCUUAUCAUCAAGCUUGUUCUUGCGGAAUUAUCUUGCGUAAUCGCCAAUUAAAACAUUAAACAAGGUCGCGAGGGGCAAUUAGAAGAUAAGCGUAACGUGGCCAACCUGUUAAUCCCUAUAAUCGAGGAUUAAAUUAAUUUGUGGCCUGCAGGGACCUUGUUCUUCAUUUUAUUAUAAUAUACCGUGGGCCAACUAGGUAAAGUUGAUCAUGUUGUGUUUCAUGUAAUAAUUAUAUGUGCUGUCUGACACGCCUUUUCAGGUAAUCAAUGUAGAACUAGACGACAUAAAUGAGAUCAUCUCGAUCCAAGAGAAGCCAAUGAUUCGGUCCAAGGUAGUGAAAAAACCUUAGACAAGAAACGGUGCAUGAAAAAGCCGGAUCCUAGGAGGCUAGAUCGACAGAUGAAACAACAGGCUUCUAGUUCGGUAAAUGGACCAACUAGUUAGCGAAUCAGGUCACCAAUCACGAUUAGGGUUUUGUUUCUUAGCAAUUGUUGUGUAGAGAUUUAACAUUCUCGCUCUCGGCUCAGCAAAACAUUGCAUGACUUAUAUAUAGGCCAUGUAAACGAAGUCCAUAUCUACUAUUGAUUAUGUAAACUCCAUAAUUGAUGGUUGAGAUGGUAUUGAUUUGUGUGAUCUAUAGAAACAUGCAUGUGAUGACUUCUAUUUUGUGGAUGUUGUGUAAUAUUAUAUCAAGAUGAGGAUUAAAUAGUUGUUUUCUUCGUUGCUCGUUUUUGACCCGCUAAUGCGCGUAUGGAACGUGCAUCGAUUAACUCGCUUAGAGAUCGAUCAGGAGUAGCCUAGCUCUGCCACUCCAGAUGCAUGCAUGCUCGCCUUAGGCAUUCCCUGUUGAUUCCAGUCACACAGAUGUAAACAAAAGUUAUCUAAAUAUUUAAGUAAGAAAUGAUUAUUUAAUUUCUAAAAAUUCUCCUUUAUCUCAAAAGGAUCUCCUCGAAAUCAGCUGGUCACGGACGACGUUUUUUCUUGGGUCAAAAUCAUAUAUUGCAUAAAUCAUGGCAACGUGUUUAGCACUCCUUCACUUUAUUGUGCGCGCACGUGGCAAUUAUUACGUGCCUGGCGUUGAAUAAGCGAAAUCUUGUUACACGUAAGGGAUUGCACGUGAAAAAGAACUUGCCUGGAGCUCUGGGAAAGGUAAUAAAAUUAUGUGCUAACGGCAGUAAAAUCAUAGACCUUAGGAAAUAAAUUGUUAAUAAAUGAUAGAGGAGAAGGUCUAAAGAAAGGUUGAUGAUAUAACGUAACGGAUUCGCAGGUAUAUGGUGUUUUUAGCGUCGUGCACGAAAUUGGCUUUUAUCUAGAAUUAUAAAUCGAAUGAGUACAAAUGGGAUAAUUAGUAUAUACGUUCAAAAUGUGUAUAAUUAAUUGCUUAAGCCUUCCAAUGUGUUUCCUUGGCUGGGAAUAUAUAGUUAGAACCGAGCGUUGCUGGAGCACAAGAUUAGAGUCCAUAAAAGUAGUUUACAAGCGGAAAGAAGCCUGAUUUCAGUAGUCCUGUGCGUCCAUCGGCACGCGAACUAAGCUCGGCUCUUUUUAUGAAAUGGGAUGCAUCCUAUUCAUAUCUUGUCCAUAAUUUAUAUUAUGUGGACUAUAUAUAAGACUUACGCAACAUAACGAGUGAGAAGCCUGGUCGUGUACGUGCAAUAAUUUGUUAUCUAUGUGGGAAGUGAGCAAGUUACAUUAACUAGGCAAAUGAGUUCUACGUGCACGCAUGUCAAUUAAGGGCAUAUAGGCUACACCAUACGACAUAAGUAAGAGUGGCAUACGAAAUUGAACUUGUGGAAAACAGGACAAAAAGCUUACCUUCUGGUAUUAUAGCAUUCAAUGUAGCCGAUUGACAACUGUGAACUCAAGACCUCUAUGAGAUGAGAGGGAGGCUAUUGAGAAACCUCUGUGACUUGUCCGUUUGAUACACAGAAAUGAUGAGUUCCAUGGGUACAUUUCUUUUCUAACUUACUGAUACUCACAUUCUCUGCACUCCCAAUUAGUACAGUAUAUUUUUUCUUGCCCAGUACCUAGCAAUACCCUCAAUCCAAAUGAGAACUUGGAUGAAGCCUUUUAAGGACUUGCUUAGGUCCGAUUCAAUCGACAUGUAUGAACUCAAGACCUGUAUGAGAUGAGAGGGGGGUUAUUGAGAAGCAUGAUGUGUUAUGAUAAAAACGACCGAAGAGGAGAGCGAAGAAGAUCGAGGCUUCACUGCAUUUAUAGACCAACUAGAGAAGCAAGCAGUACAUCCGCAAACCUUGACGAGCACAAGAUGUACUCCAUAGUACAGUGUACUUUCCCUCACCGUCACUUGCAGUCCUCGACAUCUUUUAGUUUAGAUAACUUAACAUAGUUAGCAAUUUCUAGGGCAAAAGGGUAACAAACCCAGGAAUUAGGGUUUGUGUUCUAGGUUGACUUUAUGAGUAAUCCUCCGAUGGUCGUUUCUAUUUUAACAAUUUCCUUGACAAAAAAAAAAAUAUGAACUUUUAUCCGUACUAGUAAAUUCCAACAAGUGCUAGUAAAUGUCACAGAAUUAUCGUUAAAAAAAAUUAUACAUGACCUUUUGUCCUACUUUUUUUCCAAGUAAUUAGUUGGUAAUUUACCCCACCAUUAUUGAAAUUGCUAAUUAUUUUUGUGCUUUGCAAAUUACCAAUUUUUAUACUAACAUAUCAAAUCUUAUUUGGAUAAGUUACUAAGUUUUCGAACUAAUUAAUCCCUAAUAUUAAAGUACCAACCUAACAUAGGAAAAACCGCCAACUUAUAUCAAAUUAAACUACCUUAAGUUAUAAGGUCUUGGUUGAGUUACUGGCCAAUGUUUAAUUGUCUUUAUAAUAUAUAUCUAUUGAGUUCUCAAAUUUUUCUCUUCUUGGUUAGCAAUCUUUUAAAUUUAAAAUCUACCUCGACGACGUAGGUUGUCACCGAGACAUCUGGAACCUCAGUUCUAGGUCGAUCUACGGUUGACUCCCUCAUACAGUUUGAUCCAGGUGAUCUUGGUGAUAUGCGCUUGGAUCUUGAAGCAACGAGGGGUUGCGGUCGAGAGCAAAGGUGCAAAUGACGAGAUGUGAGCCAGGCUGGAGGCAAGUGACAAGUGAUGUAUGACAAUGGUAGAGUGAGAAGGCCGACAAGGGUGGUGUCAGCGGAGAGGCGGGUCUGUGGUAGGCUGAGUGAUAAAGAAAGGUGCUGUAGACGCACAAGGGUACUUUUGUCACGUGAUUUUCUUAGGGUUUGUGGAGUUCAUUUGGGUGUGGAAUUAGCAUGAUCCAAAUUUUAUUGAGAGACAGAGAGAGAACGGAUAAUUUUAAUUAUAUUGAACCGAAUUUUGUGGCGAAGAUAAUUUGGUUAGUUAACAUAAAAAUAACAUGUUUUAGCCAAAUAGGGUGUGGAAAUGGCAACAUUCUUCUUUAUACAUAAAAAUUUUUUGUUUAAAAUUUUCACAUCCAUAAAGGUGUGCUAUUUUUCCUAGUAAUACAGAGAUUUUAAAUCAAAAUAGAGCUGUCUCUGUUCAAAAAUGCAUAUGGCAGUCGGACACCUAUCUGCUUUGAUCUCUGUCUAGCUUUAACUCCACAGACAUCUGCAAACUUGUUCUAAUUAUAAUGCCCAUAUACCUGUAUACUAAAGUAUCCACCUCUGAUUUAUUCUUUAUGUUUUAUGGCCCAAAUAUAUAUAUAUAUAUAUAUAUAUAGUCAGGAACCAUUUUUUCUCUUUUGUCGAUCAGUCAGCAACGAUUACUUAAAUGGUUGGAUUAACUAAUACGUAAUAUGAUAUUUUCUUGGGUAAGAUGACUCGAAUUUUUUAAUAUUUUAUAUAUUAAUCAAGUCAGAAUUGUAGAUCUGACUUGGUCUCUGAUAACGACAAUUUACACUGACAAAUGUCUGGGCAUUGACAAAUUAAAAUGUGGCAAUAUGGAGAGUAUGAAUUUUAAACAGACCACGGUCCUUUUGUAUUGACCUAAAACAUUAAACGCUAAACCCUGAUUUUCUUUUUUGCUCAACCUCUUACCAAGGAAACUUUUUAUUAUUUCCUGAAGCGGCACAUAUAUUGAGGGAUGCCUCUUGUUUCCUUGGCAAACCCGAUGCAGUCCAACAUAGUUUGGUGUGUUCACAUUGCACAAUGCCGCAGCUUAUAUUUUAGACAUAUAUUUCUCAAAGGAAAAAAUUGCACGUGGUAUAAAGAAAUAAGUAAUUGCCAGUUGAUUAGUUGUCAUUUGUCAGGAUUUGUGUACAUUCAGACAUUUAAAUGGGUGGAUAUGAUCAGAGAUAUGUCCAAACGAUUGCAUGAGAAGGACGGUCUCGGGCAGGAAAAUAGCGCACGAAUUUCCUUUGUUAUUGCAGAGUGAUACUAAAAUAAAAGUAGACGAGCCCUUUUAAAUGAUAAAUCGGUUGCUAUUGGCUGUGUAGGUUACACUAUAUGUCAUUGUCAUAAAUCCUAAGCACAAGUUUUUCAACACGUUACUAAAGAUCCCCUAAUGAUUUGUUUACGUUGAUGCGUGAAGUGUUGGAUAAAUAUUUGGUAAUAUGAAAAAUAAGAUUUAUUAGAAAUUUGUUGAAAAGGAUGGAAAAAAUAAGAUAAAAUGUCUUACGUGCAAGCUUAAGGAAAAUUCCAUCAUUCGAAGAAUGUAACCCAAUGCAAUAGACUCGAGGACUAUCCUCUCAAAAUAUAACAAACCUUCUUCUUUCUUCCAUUCAAAAUAAUAAAAGAAACAGAAACGAUGCUAUAUAUAUCAUCGAGCAAAGAAAUUAAAGAUAUGAGAAGGGAAGGAAAAUUAUCUUUUUGAUUCUAUGUAGCUAUUGACACCUAAAUUUUGGUGAUCAAAUCAUUUAUUGCAUAGAAAAUUCAAGAUUGCAUAGCAUUUUUUUAUUGCAUUGGACUGGUGACAGAUAUGUUUGAAUUGAUGGUUCUAAGCUUUAAUUUGACGAGUUGAACCAAGCCCAUGAAGAGAGGGAAUUAGCCCGAGCCCAUUAUUUCCGAAAAUUAACUUAUGAGGAAUGGCGAUAUGAUGGUGGAUUUUUUGUAUAUUUGUGCAAUUUAUUCAUAUAUUCUCAAUAAGGACCAGCGCGUGAAUGAGAUCUUGCAAGCUCAUCUUUGCAAAACUCGGAAUCGGGAAAAUUCUAUUACCAUCACGAACAUUUGGCAAUAUUCGGUCAAUCUUUGGGUUGUUGGAUGAUCCAACGGAAAAGAAUUUUUUGCUGAUCCUAUGAAUGUAAACGUGCGGCGACCAAUUCUCUCGUUUGUAGGAAAGAAAAGAAAUAAAGGAAAGAAAAGGAUGUGGAUGGGUUACAAUUUUUGCAUGAUCAAAGGUGGAAGGAAAUUGAAAAAGAAAUCAUGUCUUGACCAUGCAAUAUGUGAUUUUGUUUCUUUCCUUGGUGGCUCAUUUCCUUUGCAUAUAAAAGGGGCGAUCUCUUUCGAUCGGGAAGGGCGUCGGCAAUUAAAAUCCAAGAGUACAUAAAGAUACACGUGAGACAAGAAACAAAGAAGAGAGGUCCUGCACAUGGACCAGGAGAAAUCGUGAGUGCAGAGCUUGAAUAAUCCUCACGGCCAAUACAGGGAGAAGACAUGUGCUCUGCCACAAAGAAGAUGGCCACUUUCUGAUCACGUGGAGAGGGAAAAGAAAAGGCUCGGGGAAUUUCACCACGGAUCUUCCUCAGUCUUAAUCUCUCGUAGCAUGUCCAACGAAGUUCUAGCGGGUUCUUUCUUUUCUUGAGACAGCAUUGCCAAUCAUCCCACAUCGAGAAUCCAGUCCAGUGUUGACGAGAUCCAGAGCCACCUCGUGAACUAUCACAGCUCACCGUCGCCGUGUUAACCCGCAAGUCCACUGACCGCUGCUCGCCGUCCCCAAGAGCCUGUUACCACUCGACACCGUCCCGACAAGUUGUUGCUGCCCGCGCUCGCUGCCCCACGACAUCCCAGUUGGCUGUGGGGCCUCGUCGCGCUAGCCGACCCAACGCGUGUAAAGCCACUUCACUCGCUGAUGGUCCGUGACCGACCCGAGGCAUCUUGUCUCUGUUGUGUACGUCCUUAGUCGAGUUCUUGGCCGUGCCAAACUCACUGACCCGACGGCUGGUCUUGCCCGCUAGCCUUGUCGGUGCAAGCUCUGCCAUUGUUCACCAUCUGUGGAGGUGAUUGCGAUCCCGGUCCGAUUGCGCAAAGUCUAAAUUUAGAAGGCAAUAUUCGGAUUACGUAAAAACUUUGUCUAAUUUGAUUUUCGAAUAUUCCAUUUCCUUAUUUAACAUAUUUCAAUACACAUGUUCGAAGUUCAUGAUAUAUAGUCUUAUUUGUAAUCUCAAGUAGUCUUCUAAAUUGGAAAAUCUUCCUAAUUUCACAACGUGCAUAUGAUUGACAGUUCGAUUUCAUGCCCGAAAUAUAAUUCGCAAUUGCACGGAAAAAUCACCAAUUCAAUCUCACACUUGAGAUACGAUUUGCGAUUUUUGUUAAAAUUGGCCAAUUCGAUCUCAUACGUGAAAUACGAUUCAUCAAUUUACCAUAUGGAUAUCAAUCAUAUUUUCCCCGAUUUGCUGUCAUGUUGUUUGAAUUGAUUUUCUUUUAGAAAAAGAAAACCCAAAAAAAUAUAUUUGGGCUAGAUUAGAUUCAUUUUAGAUAUUGCUUGUUUUAAGGUUAUUUUGCAUGUUUAGAAUAGGAUAUUUAUUUAUUUCGAUUUUUUUAAAUAAAAUUCCAUAAAAAUAAUUUAGGAUGUUAUUUUUUCCUUUCAUUAAUUUAAAUUGCAUUUUUAAUUAUUGAGUAAUUUAAAUAUCGAAAUUUAAUUAAAAAUAAAAGAAAAUGUAAAAAUUAUCAUGCACAUGUCAUGUAGAAUUAGGUCAUCCAUUGCAUGUCAUAUAAAUGUGUAAAUGUUAUAAUAGUUGCAUUAAUCUUUUCCUAUUACUAAAUUAGGUGAUUUAAUAAAUGUCGCAUGACAUGUAGUUCGCAUGUUAGGUUGCAUGUUGCAUGUCAUUUUAGUUAAAAUAAUUUUGUACGCCAUUGCAUUGCAUUGCACGUAAUUUCUAGGCUUCAUUUAAAUAAUAAAAAAUCUUGAAAAAUAUAGAGUGAUUGCGUGUCUAUUAAAAAUCAUAUCUAGGACUGUUAAUGUAAAUUAUAAUCCAAUAUUACAGAUGCUUCCGUUGUUAUGAGGUAAGUCCCAUAAUAUAUUUAGUGCUUCAUUUGGAUGUUAAAUUGGUGAUUUGCACACCUACAUGAUCACCUCAUAUGUUAAGAAAGUAAAUUAAAAUCAAUUCAAACUGCCUACAAAACAUUUUUGUUUCGAAAUAAAAGAGAAAUGUACAAAAAGGGCGUUAGAAAAAUUUAGCAUAAUCAAGUCUCGAACUCACAAUCUCUAAUUCGCAGAAGUAAAGUAAAUCUCCCAUUACUUUACUUGGUUUCUAAUCGACCCAUCAAAAAUUCCAACCCAUCAAAAAUAGAUUAAUAGCGGCUCUUAAUUAAAAAUUCAUUUGCAUGUUAAGAACAUAAACCUAAAUCGUGAAUUGGUAUGGCCUUGGGAGAGCUUAAGCUAAGUUGCUUAAUAGUCCAUUAGCCAAACGCUAGGUAAUACACCCGAGGUUAGGUCGCGAUAGUAUCUUUUUUCUUUUAAAUUGUGGUUUGAAGUUUCAUUUUAUAUUAAAUGAAAGAGAGAGCCAUUAAGAAACCACUAUAAAUCAAUUGGUAAUUAUAACAAUGAUGACUGUUAUAAGUCGUGAUAAAAUAAUGGAGGAUUUAUGAAAAGAUAAAUCAAACGUUACAAAACCAUUACAAUGCCACUAUAGAUCAGUGAUGGACAAAAACCAUUACAAAUUAAUGAAGAUAAAAAAAUUACAAAAACAAUAUUUUUUGUAACUUCUAUAAAAGCUAUUGCUUUUAAAUAUUUCUAGACUAUUGAAAUAACUAACAACCCCUCAAAUUUUUCAAAAGUUUUGAAAAUAAAAAAUUAGAAUAAUGAUGGGUUGUUAGAGUGUAAUGCAUCAGAAUUAGUAAUUGUUAGGUUAUAAUCCAAACCAAGAAAACAUGAUAUAUAAUUCAAGAAAUCAUUGGUAAAGUUUGAAAUUUCUAUGAACUAAGAAUUUCGUUUUAUGAAUUAUAAUUUUCUCCAAUCACAUUAUACUCCUACAAAUAUUAUCAUUCAACGUGAUUUUAUGCUAGUAGGCCAUGCGCAGGCUUAGUUCAUUCAUAAGUGCUCUAAAAGAUUAUCACCAAUAAUUAUUAUAAAAGCGGCAUCACUCUACAUUUAUAUAGGUGAUUAUGAUUCCAUCAAGUGUUUUCUACAAUUAAAUACUCCACUUAUAGUGAUUAUGGAAAUUAUUAAGAGUUUAGCUCAACCACCUUUUCAUUAUAGUCUUAUGUUGACCCGAUUCACUGCUAGCUAUUCCAGCUCGCAUCGAAAUUACACUUAUCUUCAACUUGCACUAGAAUCGGAGCACAAUCAAAAUAUCCACAUGAUAGGCAAUCUGAGAUUGAUAAUGUUAUCUCCAUCUCACACAAGAACCAGAGCACAAUCAAAAUAUUUGAGAUUGAUUCAAAUAUUACUAAUUCUAUUGGUCAAUAUAUAUUUCUUAAAAAAAUUUCUAAGUAUAUGUAUAUAGGAGUCAUCACUAAUUGUAAUACAUAAUUCAAAAAUUAAAAUAUACAAUUCUUAUAUCUUCUCUAUUCUCUAUUUUUCUAUAUCUCUAUUUUUAUCUUGGUAUGAGAGCAGCAAAAGGCGAAAGCCUAUCAAUUCAAAUAUGAGUUAGUCAAAUUCUAUCUCUCCUGCGCAAACUAUCGUUCAACAACACCAGCCUCCUACUUCACUUAAAAGCAGUAGGUGUACUUUAUCUUUUGUAUUUUCCUUCUUACUCCCAUUUUUUACUUUUCCCUUUCUCUUUUCUUUUGUUUUUUACUUAUUUCUUCUUCUUCUUUUUCUUCGUGAGGUCUUCUUCUUGAAGGCCCCUCUGCAAAUGUCAGGCUUAACAAAAGAGGAAAGGCGCGUUUGGUAACGUUUCUGUUCAAAAAUUAUUCCAGGAAAUAAAAAUAGAAAAAAGUAUUUCUGUUCCAGGGAACAAUUUUUUACCAAAAAGAUGCAUUUGGUAAACUUGUUCCGAUAAUAAAAAAUGAAUAGAAACACGUUUGGUAAAUUUAUGUUCUUUUUUUGUUUCUUUUAAUUUUUUAAUAUUUUUAUUUUAUUUUUCAUUGUUUCCUUUAUUUUUUAUUUUUUCUUCUUUCGGACGGUCGCCGGAGGCUGGCGACUGGCCGACGGGGCCGACAGCCUCGCCCAGCCACGGUGAGGCUCGCCGGCCCCCGGCUAGGCGAGCUCGGGCUCGCCCAGAUCCGGCGAGGCCGAGCCUCGCCAUGGCUGGGCGACGCUCCAGCGAGGUCGCCGACACUUGACGGCGUCGCCGGCCCUUGACGGCGUCGUCAGCCCUCGACGGCUGGUCGCCGACCAUGGCCGAGGCCGGCAACCAGCCAAAGAAAAAAGAAUAAGAAAAGAAGAAGAAAGAGAAGAGAGAGGAGAAGGAAGUGUUUCUUCCAAAUUGUUUCUAGAACAAGAAACAAAUUUUUUUUUGUUUCUCAUUUCUGUUCUUUUUGAGUUCCGAGAACAAAAAAACAAAAAAAGAACAGAAACGCAACCAAACGCAUUUAUGUUCUUUUUUUUGUUCCCGGGAACAAAAAAACAAAAAAUCUGUUCAUAAACAGAUCCUAGAAAUAAAAACAUGCAGGCCCGAAGAGACCCAUUUUGGGUGCGUUUGAAAAAACUUUUGAAAAAAAUCAUUGAGAAAAUGUAAAGACCAUUGACUUAAAGAAGUUUUCCAAAAUGCAAAGUGUGUUUGGUAAAUCUAUUUGUGAAAGCUCAUUGUAAAGUAUCUUUGAGCAAAAUAGUGUUUGGAUAAAUUAAAUUUGCAAAAGGUUUUUGUUAUUAAAAAAAGAAAAAAACAAAAAACAAAGAGAGUUGGCCGGCCAAGGCUUCGCUGGUUACCGCCGACCAAGGGCUUUGCUGGUCACCACCGGCAAAGAGCUAAUAGUUGCCGACGAAGGGCAGCAUUCAGCUAGGGUCACCGUGCGACGAGGGUCGCGGCAACCCUAGCCGCGCUGUCGCACGACCCACCGCGCCAUGGAGGUUGCACUCCACGACCCAGGCGACCUCCGUGACCCAGAUUUAAGUCACGGCGAGGUCGUGGGUCGACUGGGUCGCCACGACCUCCGGCGACCUCCACGACCCAAAUUUGGGUCACGGCAAGGUCGUGGGUCGCCGAAGGUCACGGCGACAAACCUCACCGUAGGCGACCUCCGCAUCUGGGUCAAGGCGACAUUAUAGUGGGUGGCCUGGGUCACCGUGACCUCUGGCAACCUCCGUGACCCAGAUCUGGAUCCCCGCGACCGACCUCACCGUGACCUAGGCGACCGAUGGGACUCAGAUCUGGGUCGCGACAAGGUCACACCACCCAGAUCUGGGUUGCGCGACUAGUCGGUGACGAUCGCCGAGGUGCCACAACCACACUGGCCUCUCUCCAGCCCGUCGCUGACCAAUCGCAACCUCACCAGCCAACAUCUGAGACUAAUGAAGAAGAAGAUGAACAGUGGCAUCGAGCCUUCCAAAAAUGCCGAAAUCCCAAGGCAGCCUAGUACUUACCUUGGGUUUUCAACCUUUGGAAGGCUAGCAUUAAUUCAAGGUAGGUCUCAAAAAUAUUCCCAAACACCAAAUAUUUGAGUAAAUGGGCUUUAGACACCCAAAGCUACUUGGCAAAGCUGAUGCCAAAUGCAACCUUUUUUGUCUUUUCUCCUUUUUUUUUCUUUCAAUAUUUUUUCUUCCCUCUCUUGUCUUUUCUUUUCUUCAUUCUGCAGACGCCGAGAACCGUCGCCCGCAGAAACAUGACGCGUGCCGAGAGAGACCACGAAACAAGGACAUACAAAGCAAGGGAUUGCGUUGGAAAUUUACCGAGAUGCAUUUAACAAAUCACGAACGCCAAAAAAUGGAAGGAGGACCAACGAAAAGCACGACAAGCGCAUACAUUAAAGUUAGGCAUUUCAUCAAACGCACGCAGAGCACCGGCUAAGACGCUGUUAUGGGCCCAUCCCAGACUCGAACUCAUGCCGAAAUCAACAGACAAUGGACAAGCGAGACGCGACCUCAGUACGGGCACGAACGAAACACAGCAAGUCUCGGCCUUAAACAAAGGACACGAUCGUGCAUCUAGCUUAGGCGUUUCAUCGAGCACAUGGCGUGGACCUCCUGGGCAACGAGCAGUGGCUGAAACGGGACCUCAAUCGAAGACCGGGACAAACGGCAUGGGACAAACCGCGACUUAACAGCUAGAAAGCAUAUGACAUAGUCGGGGUCGGAACUUAUACGAACUGAACGACGGAGGCUUCGGGCGCUGGUCCUUGGCGUGCUGACCAGCCUCCCCCUUGGCCAAACCGGCCUCUCAUCUCAGCACCGAAGGCGUGUCCCAUCCGUUACUGGCCUACUCCCCUCUCUCUGCCAUCGAUCGUCUUCCGCGCGCGCGUUGACAACCUCUGCGCGCGUGAGUUGCAGAGAAGGGAAGGAAGGAGAAAGAAUAAGGGGCACGCACUGCCCCUGUGGGCUAUUUUUUUUUUUUUUUAAAUUAUUAGAAAGUAGGGUAAGAGAAAUGGAAAACAAAACUUAAUAAAUGCAAAUAAUAGUAAUACCCACGUCAUGCGAAAAUCCUUUUUGUUAGGACCAAAUUCGUCCAUAAUUUUCUAUGCAAAUUAAUCUUAAAUAUUGAGUCAAGUUUGAGUAUUAACAAACUCCUUAUUUUUAAUUGCACGAGUAAGAAAGCAUCAUGGUAAUAAUAUCAAAUAGAUAGAUAUCUUGAAAUUUUGCAGUACUUAAUUCACAAAAUAGAUAAUCCCCACUAGCUAAAAUUAAUUAUCAUCCUUGGUCGGUAAAAUGAGGUAAUUUAAUGGAUAAUUGAUCCAGCCAUUAAUCGGCUCCACUGGUAUUCACUUUUUCCAUGUCAAAACCGCAAGUUGGCAAGCAUUUUUGGCUAUGACGAUGGUUCUCACUUAUGUUCUCUUACAUGUUAAAGUGAUAUAAUUAUGCCACUUUAUGUUUGACGAACUUAUUAAGAUUAGAUAGUAAAUGAUACCUUUAGUCAACAUCGUUGAGAAUUUCGCCUCAAUCGAUUAAAUUUGGAGUUAAGGUUGAAAAUGUACAAAAUACAUUUCGAUUCAUUUUAUCAGACGAAAAUACAAUAUUUUGAAUCAAAUAACUUCUUGGAUUCCAAACAUGUGUUACAAUUGAAACUUUUAAAAAUGAUGCAAAAGUGCAUAAUUCGGUACAAAAUACAGAUGAUUUAUUCCCAUUGGGAUGUCUACAGCCUUUUGCAAUGGCAAUGAACUCAAAGCAAACAACAUCCAUAUUAAGACACGGUACAAGGAGGCAUGUAACUGGGAGGCGGAUACACCUUUUGAUGCUUUUCCUUGCCGUCUCCGACGAUGAAGACUGUGUUCAUUCCCCAGCUUGCAUGGCGUUCUAAAUGACAGUGCAUGAACCACACUCCUGCAGCCACCCGUAAAAGAAUAAACAGUCAAUUAUGCGUUCAUAUACAAGAUUGAAUUCACGCAAAACUAAUGCCAAAAUGGUAGAUACAUGAUAAUAGAUGCUAUUCAUUUGCAAACAAAAACGAUAUGUUUCUAUGCGUUUCUACCGAUUAAAUUAUAGUACCUGGAUUAUCAGCUUUGAAUCUGAUCGAUGUCCACCCGUUUUUGGGGAGUCCGACGGUGUUAACAUAGGGCGGAUCCACUAGAUUAUAAUCCGAUACAUAGGAGUCGCUGAAAUUUCCAUCGCCCAUCCCAACGACAUAAAAGCUAUAGCCGUGUAAAUGCAUUGGGUGAUUCUCUGCUGCUCCCAAAUUGGUCCCUUGGAAUCUUAUUUCGACCUCCUCAUUAUAGUUAAUCAUUAACACUUCAUUACCCACAAUGGCAGCUUCCCCUAAGGCCGAUACAUUCCCAGUGUAGUCAAACACGAAAGAUGGUUCAUCCGGAAAAGUUUCGUUGUAGACUCCUAGAAGAUUGCUGCACACACCAGACAAAUAUAAUGUUUCGAGACAAAUUCAGAUGUUGAAUAUGCCUUCGCUUUAAGACAACAGAGGUUUUAGCUAGUUAAAUUGGUUCGAUUGGAAGAAUGUUUCAGCCCGAAUCAACUCUAUCAGUUUGAGAAAGAUAUUCAAUCCAAACAAUAAGAUCAAAUUUUGUAGGUUUAACAAUUUACGUACUUG
rnacentral:lncRNA from 1 species